GACGAACGCUGGCGGCGUGCUUAACACAUGCAAGUCGAACGGAAAGGCCCCUUUGGGGGUCCUCGAGUGGCGAACGGGUGAGUAACACGUGAGUAACCUGCCCUUGACUUCGGGAUAACUUCAGGAAACUGGGGCUAAUACCGGAUAGGAAUCCUUGCUGCAUGGUGGGGGUUGGAAAGCUUCGGCGGUUUUGGAUGGACUCGCGGCUUAUCAGCUUGUUGGUGGGGUAGUGGCUUACCAAGGCUUUGACGGGUAGCCGGCCUGAGAGGGCGACCGGCCACAUUGGGACUGAGAUACGGCCCAGACUCCUACGGGAGGCAGCAGUGGGGAAUAUUGCACAAUGGGCGGAAGCCUGAUGCAGCAACGCCGCGGGCGGGAUGACGGCCUUCGGGUUGUAAACCGAUUUCAGCAGGGGCGAAGCUUGUGGUGACGGUACCUGCAGAAGAAGCACCGGCUAACUACGUG
rnacentral:rRNA from 1 species